rnacentral:misc_RNA from 2 species
AUAUUAUCAACCUCUUUGGUUGGAUGUGGGUUUGCUGGCCUCUUGAGGUCAGCUCUCCUUAAAUGCAUUAGCGGACAACAUUUUGCCAACUGUUCAUUGGUGUGAUAAUUAUCUACGCUAUUGACGGUGAAGCAAGGUUCAGCUUCUAACAGUCCAUUGACUUGGACAAGCUUAUUUUAUUA